CAGCACACUGGUUCCUAUCAAUAAAUCUC
rnacentral:piRNA from 1 species